UCGUAACAAGGUUUCCGUAGGUGAACCUGCGGAAGGAUCAUUACCGAGUGAGGGCCCUUUGGGUCCAACCUCCCACCCGUGUUUAUUUUACCUUGUUGCUUCGGCGGGCCCGCCUUUACUGGCCGCCGGGGGGCUCACGCCCCCGGGCCCGCGCCCGCCGAAGACACCUCCGAACUCUGUCUGAAGAUUGAAGUCUGAGUGAAAAUAUAAAUUAUUUAAAACUUUCAACAACGGAUCUCUUGGUUCCGGCAUCGAUGAAGAACGCAGCGAAAUGCGAUACGUAAUGUGAAUUGCAAAUUCAGUGAAUCAUCGAGUCUUUGAACGCACAUUGCGCCCCCUGGUAUUCCGGGGGGCAUGCCUGUCCGAGCGUCAUUGCUGCCCUCAAGCACGGCUUGUGUGUUGGGCCCCGUCCUCCGAUUCCGGGGGACGGGCCCGAAAGGCAGCGGCGGCACCGCGUCCGGUCCUCGAGCGUAUGGGGCUUUGUCACCCGCUCUGUAGGCCCGGCCGGCGCUUGCCGAUCAACCCAAAUUUUUAUCCAGGUUGACCUCGGAUCAGGUAGGGAUACCCGCUGAACUUAAGCAUAUCAAUAA
rnacentral:misc_RNA from 1 species